rnacentral:rRNA from 2 species
UAGGGAAUCUUCGGCAAUGGACGAAAGUCUGACCGAGCAACGCCGCGUGAGUGAAGAAGGUUUUCGGAUCGUAAAACUCUGUUGUUAGAGAAGAACAAGGACGUUAGUAACUAAACGUCCCCUGACGGUAUCUAACCAGAAAGCCACGGCUAACUACGUGCCAGCAGCCGCGGUAAUACGUAGGUGGCAAGCGUUGUCCGGAUUUAUUGGGCGUAAAGCGAGCGCAGGCGGUUUCUUAAGUCUGAUGUGAAAGCCCCCGGCUCAACCGGGGAGGGUCAUUGGAAACUGGGAGACUUGAGUGCAGAAGAGGAGAGUGGAAUUCCAUGUGUAGCGGUGAAAUGCGUAGAUAUAUGGAGGAACACCAGUGGCGAAGGCGGCUCUCUGGUCUGUAACUGACGCUGAGGCUCGAAAGCGUGGGGAGCAAACAGG